UUGAUGAUGUUGCUCUCUGUUUCUCUCUGUUUGGAGAUUUGAGGAUGUGAGAAAUUCCACUCAAUAGCUGACCAUGAAUCCUCAUACGAUGACGGAACCGGAUGCUCCGGCGCGCGGCGGUACUGGAUCGAUACGGCAAGGCAGUUAGCAGAUUUGACAAUCUCUGUGACGUAGUUGUGGUAAAUGGGAGAGAAAGGUGACUCGAUGAUCCAAGCUCCGCCGUGGAUGUAGAUGAGAAGAGGUAGAUUCUUACCGGCGGUGGUUUUGUGAGGGAGGAAGAGACGGACGGAGAGGUUAUGCUCCGUUGCUGAUGUGAAUGUCAAAAACAAUGGUGGUCGCACUGCUCUUCAUUAUGCAGCAAGGGAUGGUUGGAAAUCACUCAGCUUUAUUUUAAAUCAAAUGAACGUGUGCCUACCGAGUUGAAGAAAUCAAUCAUGCAAGCCCGAGGGGAGAAGAAGCUCACCCAUUCCCAACUUGCUCAACUGAUCAAUGAGAAGCCACAAGUGAUCCAAGAAUACGAGUCUGGGAAGGCAAGGCUGGUCAGUUGAGUACAUGCUUACAGGUCAGAGAUAUACUCGGUCUAUCAUUGGAAGGUGAAUUUCAGUUUCCACUUACUAGUUUCUUUUCUUGCAAAAUUGAUAUACUGAGUUUAAUAGUAUCCAUUGGUCUGAUCAGAAUAUACACCUGUUAGAA